rnacentral:rRNA from 1 species
UGCAAGUCGAGCGGAGUGAUGGUGCUUGCACUAUCACUUAGCGGCGGACGGGUGAGUAAUGCUUAGGAAUCUGCCUAUUAGUGGGGGACAACAUUUCGAAAGGAAUGCUAAUACCGCAUACGUCCUACGGGAGAAAGCAGGGGAUCUUCGGACCUUGCGCUAAUAGAUGAGCCUAAGUCGGAUUAGCUAGUUGGUGGGGUAAAGGCCUACCAAGGCGACGAUCUGUAGCGGGUCUGAGAGGAUGAUCCGCCACACUGGGACUGAGACACGGCCCAGACUCCUACGGGAGGCAGCAGUGGGGAAUAUUGGACAAUGGGCGCAAGCCUGAUCCAGCCAUGCCGCGUGUGUGAAGAAGGCCUUAUGGUUGUAAAGCACUUUAAGCGAGGAGGAGGCUACUGAAGUUAAUACCUUCAGAUAGUGGACGUUACUCGCAGAAUAAGCACCGGCUAACUCUGUGCCAGCAGCCGCGGUAAUACAGAGGGUGCAAGCGUUAAUCGGAUUUACUGGGCGUAAAGCGCGCGUAGGCGGCUAAUUAAGUCAAAUGUGAAAUCCCCGAGCUUAACUUGGGAAUUGCAUUCGAUACUGGUUAGCUAGAGUGUGGGAGAGGAUGGUAGAAUUCCAGGUGUAGCGGUGAAAUGCGUAGAGAUCUGGAGGAAUACCGAUGGCGAAGGCAGCCAUCUGGCCUAACACUGACGCUGAGGUGCGAAAGCAUGGGGAGCAAACAGGAUUAGAUACCCUGGUAGUCCAUGCCGUAAACGAUGUCUACUAGCCGUUGGGGCCUUUGAGGCUUUAGUGGCGCAGCUAACGCGAUAAGUAGACCGCCUGGGGAGUACGGUCGCAAGACUAAAACUCAAAUGAAUUGACGGGGCCCGCACAAGCGGUGGAGCAUGUGGUUUAAUUCGAUGCACGCGAGACCUUACCUGGCCUUGACAUAGUAGACUUUCAGAGAUGGAUGUGCUUCGGGAACUUACAUACAGUGCUGCAUGCUGUCGUCAGCUCGUGUUCGUGAGAAUGUGGGUAGUCCCGCCACGAGGCGC